rnacentral:rRNA from 1 species
UUCCUUUAGAGGAAGUAAAAGUCGUAACAAGGUUUCCGUAGGUGAACCUGCGGAAGGAUCAUUAGUGAACGCCCUCACGGGCUUAUAACUAUUCCAAACCUCUGUGARCCGUGCCCUUCGGGGCUAUUUUACAAACAUGGUGUAAUGAACGUCAUAUAUCAUAACAAAACAAAACUUUCAACAACGGAUCUCUUGGCUCUCGCAUCGAUGAAGAACGCAGCGAAAUGCGAUAAGUAAUGUGAAUUGCAGAAUUCAGUGAAUCAUCGAAUCUUUGAACGCACCUUGCGCCCUCUGGUAUUCCGGAGGGCAUGCCUGUUUGAGUGUCAUGUAGACUCAAUCCCUCGGGUUUCCGAGGAGAUUGGACUUGGGUGUUGCCGCUCUGCCGGCUCGCCUUAAAAGACUUAGCGGGAUAGCACCGUAGUCGGCGUAAUAAGUUUCGUCGGUGAAGGUUGUGAUGACUGCUUACAAUCGCCCUCGGGCAAUUUUUGACUCUGACCUCAAAUCAGGUAGGACUACCCGCUGAACUUAAGCAUAUCAAUAACGCGGAGGAAAAGAAACUAACAAGGAUUCCCYUAGUAGCGGCGAGCGAAGCGGGAAGAGCUCAAAUUUGAAAGCUGGCGUCCUUCGGGCGUCCGCAUUGUAAUCUAUAGAGGCGUUUUCUGUGCUGGACCGUG